UAUUGAAAUCCUUACCCUGAACAUUUCUGCCAGUACAAGAGUCCCCAUGCUAAAUCAAAAUUGUGAAACAGAAAGGCAAUCUCAUAAUUUUGACUUAGCAUGUAUUUUUUUUCUUUUUGUGCUAGAAAUAGGACUUCUAUAGUCUGAGAUUGUUAGGGAAAGAAUACUAAGGCAGGUCACAGAAUCUGAUUGGUCACAGAUUUUGGUGCAACUUAGAACAUAAUAUGUAUUUUCAUAUUGAUACUGGGUUUUGUGGGAGGUGUUUCUAUUCCUGUGCAAAAGACGUAUUCAUGAGAGAUUUUUGAAGUAGGUAGGUUUUGCUGUUGAUGACACAGUCAGGCAUAUAACAUGGUGCAGACUGUCCAAGACAGCUACCCAGGAAUUUUCUGUGUUGAAUAAAUGACAAUAUUUUGGUGAAUGUAUUGUUUAGAUAUCUGAAAAUUUCAUCGGAUCACAAGCAAAGACCUCCUGGGGACCUUCAAUGCAUCCCUUGACAAAGUUGUGCCUGGCCUGCUGAAACUGUACUGGUCUAAGAAGGGAGUUCUUGGUGAGGAGAUGGAAGACCUCCUGGAUAAACUUGAUGAACAGACAUCCAACACUGUGUCCAACGGGCACUGAGAGGCCUGCCCAUUUUCCUCAAGAGAAGAUGCAACAGAGGUUUUCCUGAAGUGCUUAGACACUGACAUUUUGGAACCAGUGUUGAACGGUGCAUCAGUUGCCAUCCUCACCAUCCUACAAGAUGACGAUGCUGAUACGUCUGUGCGAGAACAUGCAGUUGUGUUGGAAGGGGACAUUGUGCUACAUAACAUUCCAGAUCUCUCUACUGCCCUGGCACACCUCUUUGGCCUUCUGUAUGCCCUCAACAUUGAUUAUCCAAAGCAGAUGAGUUUUACCUUUGAAGCAAUUCAGGCCAUCUUAUUUUGGCCUGGUCGGACAAUAUGAAGGUGAAGUGGAUAAAUCAUUAUUCGAAAUGUAAAUUUUAGUCAGAUGAAUCUGUAUUGUUGAGAAUAUAUGGUGAAAAUUUGUCUUGUAGUAUUUUAAAAGAUUUGUUAUAGUGUUAGUUUCCUCUUCAUUGAUGGUAACAUUUCUAAGAACUUUUAACUUCCAUAGUUCAUCAUAGUAAGCCUGUGUAAAAUGUCAAUGUCUGGGUGCAUAGGCAAUCGUUUGUAGCA